rnacentral:rRNA from 1 species
GGGGAAUAUUGCACAAUGGGCGCAAGCCUGAUGCAGCAACGCCGCGUGAAGGAAGACGGUUUUCGGAUUGUAAACUUCUGUUCUUAGCGAAGAAUAAUGACGGUAGCUAAGGAGCAAGCCACGGCUAACUACGUGCCAGCAGCCGCGGUAAUACGUAGGUGGCAAGCGUUGUCCGGAAUUACUGGGUGUAAAGGGAGCGCAGGCGGGAAAGCAAGUCAGCUGUGAAAUCCAUGGGCUUAACCCAUGAACUGCAGUUGAAACUGUUUUUCUUGAGUGAAGUAGAGGUUGGCGGAAUUCCGAGUGUAGCGGUGAAAUGCGUAGAUAUUCGGAGGAACACCGGUGGCGAAGGCGGCCAACUGGGCUUUUACUGACGCUGAGGCUCGAAAGUGUGGGGAGCAAACAGGAUUAGAUACCCUGGUAGUCCACACUGUAAACGAUGAUUGCUAGGUGUGGGGGGUCUGACCCCUUCCGUGCCGCAGCUAACGCAAUAAGCAUCCCACCUGGGGAGUACGAUCGCAAGGUUGAAACUCAAAGGAAUUGACGGGGGCCCGCACAAGCGGUGGAUUAUGUGGUUUAAUUCGAAGCAACGCGAAGAACCUUACCAGGGCUUGACAUCCUACUAACGAAGUAGAGAUACAUUAGGUGCCCUUCGGGGAAAGUAGAGACAGGUGGUGCAUGGUUGUCGUCAGCUCGUGUCGUGAGAUGUUGGGUUAAGUCCCGCAACGAGCGCAACCCCUAUUGUUAGUUGCUACGCAAGAGCACUCUAGCGAGACUGCCGUUGACAAAACGGAGGAAGGUGGGGACGACGUCAAAUCAUCAUGCCCCUUAUGUCCUGGGCUACACACGUAAUACAAUGGCGGUCAACAGAGGGAGGCAAAGCCGCGAGGCAGAGCAAACCCCCCAAAAGCCGUCCCAGUUCGGAUCGCAGGCUGCAACCCGCCUGCGUGAAGUCGGAAUCGCUAGUAAUCGCGGAUCAGCAUGCCGCGGUGAAUACGUUCCCG